AAGUCGAGCGGUAGAGAGGUGCGUUCACCUCUUGAGAGCGGCGGACGGGUGAGUAAUACCUAGGAAUCUGCCUGGUAGUGGGGGAUAACGUUCGGAAACGGACGCUAAUACAGCAUACGUCCUCCGGGAGAAAGCAGGGGACCUUCGGGCCUUGCGCUAUCAGAUGAGCCUAGGUCGGAUUACCUAGUUGGUGAGGUAAUGGCUCACCAAGGCUACGAUCCGUAACUGGUCUGAGAGGAUGAUCAGUCACACUGGAACUGAGACACGGUCCAGACUCCUACGGGAGGCAGCAGUGGGGAAUAUUGGACAAUGGGCGAAAGCCUGAUCCAGCCAUGCCGCGUGUGUGAAGAAGGUCUUCGGAUUGUAAAGCACUUUAAGUUGGGAGGAAGGGCAUUAACCUAAUACGU
rnacentral:rRNA from 1 species